rnacentral:rRNA from 1 species
UACGGGGGGAGCAAGCGUUGUUCGGAUUUACUGGGCGUAAAGGGCGCGUAGGCGGCCACCGCAAGUCGACUGUGAAGUCUCCGGGCUUAACUCGGAAAGGUCAGCCGAUACUGCGGGGCUAGAGUGCAGAAGGGGCAACUGGAAUUCUCGGUGUAGCGGUGAAACGCGUAGAGAUCCGGAAGAACACCGGUGGCGAAGGCGGUCUGCUGGGCAGUUGCUGACACUGAGGCGCGACAGCGUGGGGAGCAAACAGG